rnacentral:rRNA from 1 species
AAGUCGUAACAAGGUUUCCGUAGGUGAACCUGCGGAAGGAUCAUUAUUGAAUUAUGGUGUUUGAAAGUGUGAAAGCUUUCGAAUGCUAUUAUUAAAUAUUAUUUACACCCUGUGAAAUGGAUUUUUAACGAGAUUGAUAUUGAUGUACUGUAUGUUGACAUAAAAAGUUAUAACAACUUUCAGCAACGGAUCUCUUGGCUCUCGCAUCGAUGAAGAACGCAGCGAAACGCGAAAUGUAAUGUGAAUUGCAGAAUCUCAGUGAAUCAUCGAAUCUUUGAACGCAUCUUGCGCCCAGUGGUAUUCCGCUGGGCAUGCCUGUCUGAGUGUCGUUACUUCUCAUACUUGACACCUUUGUGUUAUGUUAUGGAUGGUGGGUGUUUGUAAGGCUUACGCUUUACACACCUCAAAUGUAAUCCGGUUUACACUUGAUUUUACGGCUUGACCGAAUGUUGUAGAUUGUACACUUCAUUUGGGACGUGAAAAUAAAGAUAAGACCUAAACGACAUGUAACUUUCAAUUUUGACCUCAGAUCAGGUAGGAUUACCCGCUGAACUUAAGCAUGUCAAUAAGCGGAGGAAAAGAAACUAACAAGGAUUCCCCCAGUAACGGCGAGUGAAGAGGGAAAAGCCCAACUUUGAAAUCUGAUAGCCUUUGGCUGUCCGAAUUGUAGUCUAGAGAUGUAUGACCCGAGUGAGACGACGAUUAAAGCUGUUCGGAUGCAGCGUCAUAGUGGGUGCCAAUCCCGUUAAAUCGUUAUUGAAUUCAUUGUGGUCUACACUCAAAGAGUCGAGUUGUUUGGGAUUGCAGCUCUAAUGGGGUGGUAAAUUCCAUCUAAGGCUGAAUAACGGCGAGAGACCGAUAGCGAACAAGUACCGUGAGGGAAAGAUGAAAAGCACUUUGGAAAGAGAAUGAAAGAGUAUGUGAAAUUGCUGGAAGGGAAACGCUUAAAGUCAGAUGCGCAGUGUGUAGAUUCGUCUAUGCAAUGGCGGGCCAGCAUGGGUUUUGUUGUUUGAAUUAGGGUGCUUGGAAUGUGACCAUGCUUCGGGAUGGUGUUAUAGACAAGUACUAGAUGCAAACGAUGGGAUCGAGGAAUGCAGUCUUCGGACUUAGGAUGCUGGUGGGAUGGCUUUAAACGACC